UCGAAGGUUGUUGGGUGGUCUGCGCAGCGAGUGAUGAUCCAUCGCGUUGCCAAACCGCAAAAAAAAAGCCCCGACAAGCGGGGCUC
rnacentral:antisense_RNA from 1 species